rnacentral:rRNA from 1 species
UGGGGAAUUUUGGACAAUGGGCGAAAGCCUGAUCCAGCAAUGCCGCGUGUGUGAAGAAGGCCUUCGGGUUGUAAAGCACUUUUGUCCGGAAAGAAAUCCUCUGGGUUAAUACCUCGGGGGAGUGACGGUACCGGAAGAAUAAGCACCGGCUAACUACGUGCCAGCAGCCGCGGUAAUACGUAGGGUGCAAGCGUUAAUCGGAAUUACUGGGCGUAAAGCGUGCGCAGGCGGUUUUGUAAGACGGAUGUGAAAUCCCCGGGCUUAACCUGGGAACUGCAUUCGUGACUGCAAGGCUAGAGUAUGGCAGAGGGGGGUAGAAUUCCACGUGUAGCAGUGAAAUGCGUAGAGAUGUGGAGGAAUACCGAUGGCGAAGGCAGCCCCCUGGGCCAAUACUGACGCUCAUGCACGAAAGCGUGGGGAGCAAACAGGAUUAGAUACCCUGGUAGUCCACGCCCUAAACGAUGUCAACUAGUUGUUGGGGAUUCAUUUCCUUAGUAACGUAGCUAACGCGUGAAGUUGACCGCCUGGGGAGUACGGUCGCAAGAUUAAAACUUAAAGGAA